CCCGUCGCUUACCUCCAUCCCCGUCCUCAGCUCUUCCUCAGGUGGAAGUCGCCAUUCUCUUACUCCUCAUCAUGGCCCUGCUGUACAAUCCCACUCCCUUUCUCAAACAACAGGUUUUGAAGUUUGAUUGAGACUUCCAAAGGGUUCUCCUCCAAAGCUGCACUGCUACACUGUUUUACCAGGGACCGGUUGCUUCACACCCCUGACAACUCUGAAUACCUUUCCUAAUGACCAGUAUGGUUAAAUAUCUUUUCACAUGUUUAUGAGACAUUUAGGUUUAUUUUAUGAACUGCCUUUUGUGAAUUUCCUGUUAUAUUAUUUGCCCUCUUUUUUGCUGAGUUACUUGUAGAAGCUCUUUAUAUAUUUCAGAUAUUUUCUAUAUGUGGCAAAUAGUUGCU